rnacentral:rRNA from 1 species
GUAGUCUGCAACUCGACUACAUGAAGCUGGAAUCGCUAGUAAUCGCGAAUCAGAAUGUCGCGGUGAAUACGUUCCCGGGUCUUGUACACACCGCCCGUCACACCAUGGGAGUUGGGAAUGCCCGAAGCCGGUGACCUAACCGAAAGGGAGGAGCCGUCGAAGGCAGGCUUGAUAACUGGGGUGAAGUCGUAACAAGGUACC